rnacentral:rRNA from 1 species
ACGCAAUAGAUACCCUGGUAGUCCCAGCAGUAAACGGUGCGCGUUUGGUGUGAGCAGGUUCGACCCUGUUCGCGCCGGAGCUAACGCGUUAAACGCGCCGCCUGGGAAGUACGAUCGCAAGAUUAAAACUCAAAGAAAUUGACGGGGGCCCGCACAAGCGGUGGAGUAUGUGGCUUAAUUCGAUGCAACGCGAAGAACCUUACCUGGGUUUGACAUGCAUCUCUAAGGCGGUGAAAGUCGCCGAGGGUAGCAAUACCCAAUUUGCACAGGUGCUGCAUGGCUGUCGUCAGCUCGUGUCGUGAGAUGUUGGGUUAAAGUCCCGCAACGAGCGCAACCCCUGUAUGCUGUUGCAAUGCUUACGCAUUGCUCUCUGCGUAGACUGCCCCGUGAAACGGGGAGGAAGGUGGGGAUGACGUCAAGUCAGCAUGGCCCUUACAUCCAGGGGCUGCACACGUACUACAAUGCUCAGUACAAUUAGAACCUG